rnacentral:rRNA from 1 species
AACACGUGGGUAACCUGCCUGUAAGACUGGGAUAACUCCGGGAAACCGGAGCUAAUACCGGAUAGUUCCUUGAACCGCAUGGUUCAAGGAUGAAAGACGGUUUCGGCUGUCACUUACAGAUGGACCCGCGGCGCAUUAGCUAGUUGGUGGGGUAAUGGCUCACCAAGGCGACGAUGCGUAGCCGACCUGAGAGGGUGAUCGGCCACACUGGGACUGAGACACGGCCCAGACUCCUACGGGAGGCAGCAGUAGGGAAUCUUCCGCAAUGGACGAAAGUCUGACGGAGCAACGCCGCGUGAGUGAUGAAGGUUUUCGGAUCGUAAAGCUCUGUUGUUAGGGAAGAACAAGUGCGAGAGUAACUGCUCGCACCUUGACGGUACCUAACCAGAAAGCCACGGCUAACUACGUGCCAGCAGCCGCGGUAAUACGUAGGUGGCAAGCGUUGUCCGGAAUUAUUGGGCGUAAAGGGCUCGCAGGCGGUUUCUUAAGUCUGAUGUGAAAGCCCCC